CCAAUCAACUCUCUAUUUUUAUUGCCACUUUCUCUCUCAAUUGACUCAUUGCCAAGCUCUGCCAUUAUUAUGGUUUAUGGGUUUUUGUUAAGAGCUUUAAACUUUGAAACAAAAACCAGUUAAAGCUUCAAUCUUUGAAGCAAAUACUAGCACCCCACUUGGUAAAUUAGUCCCUUUCUUUCAUUCUUUGCUUUGACAAGUUGUUUUGAAGAGAAAAAGAAAAUGACUGUAGAGCAGGGAAUUGGAGAUAGCAAUAUAGACCAGUUUCCUAUUGGUAUGAGAGUUUUGGCUGUUGAUGAUGACCCAACUUGUCUUUUACUGCUGGAAACUCUGCUUCGUAGAUGCCAGUAUACUGUUACUACGACGAGUCAAGCAAUCACGGCAUUGAGUAUGUUGAGAGAAAACAAGAAUAAGUUUGACCUGGUUAUCAGUGAUGUCCAUAUGCCAGACAUGGACGGUUUUAAAUUGCUUGAGCUCGUGGGGCUUGAGAUGGACCUACCUGUCAUCAUGUUGUCAGCGAACGGUGAUCCAAAGCUUGUGAUGAAGGGGAUCACUCAUGGAGCUUGUGAUUAUUUGCUCAAGCCUGUUCGAAUUGAGGAGCUAAAGAACAUCUGGCAACAUGUAAUUAGGAGAAGGAAAUGUGAUAACAAAGACAGAAACAGUUCGGAUAACCGAGACAAGCCUAAUCAAGGAAGUAGUGAAGCAAUACCUGACCAGAAGCUUAAUAAAAAAAGGAAAGACCAGAAUGAGGAUGAGGAUGAGGAUCGUGAUGAGAAUGAACAUGAGAAUGAGGAUCCAGCAACCCAAAAGAAGCCCCGGGUUGUAUGGUCAGUGGAGCUGCAUCGCAAAUUUGUGGCAGCUGUUAAUCAAUUGGGCAUUGACAAGGCUGUUCCAAAGAAGAUUCUCGAUUUGAUGAAUGUUGAAAAGCUUACAAGAGAAAAUGUGGCAAGCCAUCUCCAGAAAUAUAGGCUUUACCUUAAAAGGAUCAGCACUGUGGCAAACCAGCAAGCUAAUAUGGUGGCAGCUUUAGGUAGUUCAGAUGCAUCAUAUCUGCAAAUGAAUUCUAUGAAUGGAAUGGGAUUGCACAACUUGGCUGGAUCUGGGCAGUUUCACAACACCCCUUUCAGAUCUCUCCCUUCUAGUGGAAUGCUUAGUAGGUUGAAUUCUCCUGCUGUUCUGGGCAUUCGUGGUCUUCCUUCUCCUGGAGUGAUUCGAUUAGGUCAUGUACAGAGUGCACCGCACUCAGCUAAUGGUUUAAGUCACUUCCAACCAGUUGGACACCCUGGAAAUAAUGGGAACAUACUUCAGGGGAUGCCAAUGUCAUUGGAACUUGAUCAAAUACAAUCAAACAAGGGUGUCAACUAUGUUAGGGAACUUCCUACUCAUCUUGAUGACACAGCCAGUUUUCCUGUAUCCAGUGGUUCCACAGAUAUGAAAAUAAUUGCUGGGAGCUCAAACAGCCCUUUUGUUGGUGUUUCAGGCAAACCUUUGAUGCUGGAAGGACAUGGUCAAGGGCUCCAAGAUAGCCAAAAAUUUGGAAAUCAAUCUUCUCUCGCAGCAGGUUCCUUAGAUCCAGGAUAUUCUUCCCAUUUCCCGGAUCAUGGUAGAUGUAAUGACAACUGGUCCAAUGCUGUCCAGUCAAAUGGGGUCCAAUCAAGUUCUUUUACCUUAAAUGACUGUUUUAAGCAAUCUACUCUGCAUCCCAGUUCCAUCAGAGACAGCAUGUCAACAAUGGCCUUGCAAAGUAGGAAUAAUCACUGUGAUGUUUCUUCUAUCUCUACUCUACCCAUUCAUUUACAGGACUCCAAAGCAGAACUACAAUGCCAAGUGGCUACAAUGAGCAGUGAUGCUGGACAAAUAAUCAAUAAUGGGCAGCUAGGGUGGGAUGACCAUAGACAGGAUGAUCCUUACCACGCAAAUGGCAUAUCUAACUCAAUAAACUCUGCAAUUUCUAUUAAUGGUAAUGGGAAUCUCAUUGGCCGGAGUUUGGAUCCAAAUAACAUGAUUUUUCAGAGAACAAGAAGCUUCAGUUCAGCAGGACAGUCAAAUUUUGUUGACACCUCACUGAUGAAGCAUAAUGAGGUUGAAAGUUCAGCAAUGGAAACAUUAGUGAGGUCAAAGGAUGGGUAUUUGCUAGGUCAACAGAAGCAGCAGGACAGCUAUGUUUCGAAUAAUUUUGGCUCCUUGGAGGAUUUGGUGAGUGUAAUGGUGAAACAGGAACAAGACAAGGUGAAGUUACCAGAAGGAGACUUUGGAUGUGGUGGUUAUUCUCUUAGGACAUGCAUAUAAAGCAGAUUUAUGCUGCCAAAGCCCACAAGAGAAAAGGAUCUGCGGAAGCAUUACACUUCAUGCAGAUUGAGUUAUUCCUAGUGUAAUUGAUACCACCUAGAUCUCACCCCCACUCCAAAGAAAAAAGAAAGCUACUAAAGAUAGAAAGGUCAAUGCCUCAGGUCUAUUGCAGAUUCAUAAGAAGGUAAUGAGAAAAGACAUCCAGGGCUAGUGGAAGCAGGCCAACCCUCACAUCAAUGCCUGCAGAGCCAUUUGGAUUCUGCAUCAAGUAUGCAACCUGAGGGAUUGGAGUAACCAAUGGAGAAGCAUAGGCUCCAUCGCCAUGUAGAAAAUCAACCUUGUGGAAUGGCAUAAUCAACCUUGUGGAAUGGCAUACUUGUCCAAUCAGAAACUAUAGUUUACUCCUUAGGAGGUAGAGUGCCUUGUGGCCCAUCAAGUGCUUCCAUAUAUGCAGUCACAUAGUCACUGUUGACAGUUCUUAGCUUCUUUUAUCCUUUCUAUUAUAGCUUCACGGCUUCCUUCCUCUAAUUCUCCGGCUGUUAAAGCAACAGAAAUUAGUACAUAAGCAUUGCCACUGAAACCUUUAGACAGUGGAGGCAUCAUCUUGUUCCUUAUGUCCAUGGCAAAUUGCAAACACUCCAUUCUUUCC